AUUGAACGCUGGCGGCAUGCUUUACACAUGCAAGUCGAACGGUAACAGGCCGCAAGGUGCUGACGAGUGGCGAACGGGUGAGUAAUGCAUCGGAACGUGCCCAGUCGUGGGGGAUAACGCAGCGAAAGCUGCGCUAAUACCGCAUACGAUCUAUGGAUGAAAGCGGGGGACCGUAAGGCCUCGCGCGAUUGGAGCGGCCGAUGUCAGAUUAGUUAGUUGGUGGGGUAAAGGCUCACCAAGCCAACGAUCUGUAGCUGGUCUGAGAGGACGAGCAGCCACACUGGGAAUGAGACACGGGCCAGACUCCUACGGGAGGCAGCGGUGGGGAAUUUUGGACAAUGGGCGCGAGCCUGAUCCAGCAAUGCCGCGUGCAGGAAGAAGGCCUUCGGGUUGUAAACUGCUUUUGUACGGAACGAAAAGGCUCUGGAUAAUACCUGGGGCUCAUGACGGUACCGUAAGAAUAAGCACCGGCUAACUACGUGCCAGCAGCCGCCGUAAAAC
rnacentral:rRNA from 1 species